rnacentral:rRNA from 1 species
AUUGAACGCUGGCGGCAGGCCUAACACAUGCAAGUCGAGCGGAUGAAGGGAGCUUGCUCCUGGAUUCAGCGGCGGACGGGUGAGUAAUGCCUAGGAAUCUGCCUGGUAGUGGGGGAUAACGUCCGGAAACGGGCGCUAAUACCGCAUACGUCCUGAGGGAGAAAGUGGGGGAUCUUCGGACCUCACGCUAUCAGAUGAGCCUAGGUCGGAUUAGCUAGUUGGUGGGGUAAAGGCCUACCAAGGCGACGAUCCGUAACUGGUCUGAGAGGAUGAUCAGUCACACUGGAACUGAGACACGGUCCAGAAUCCUACGGGAGGCAGCAGUGGGGAAUAUUGGACAAUGGGCGAAAGCCUGAUCCAGCCAUGCCGCGUGUGUGAAGAAGGUCUUCGGAUUGUAAAGCACGUUAAGUUGGGAGGAAGGGCAGUAAGUUAAUACCUUGCUGUUUGGACGUUACCAACAGAAUAAGCACCGGCUAACUUCGU